GACGAACCGUGCGAACGUUGUUCGGAAUCACUGGGCUUAAAGGGCGCGUAGGCGGGUCGAAAAGUCCGUGGUGAAAUCCCCCCGCUCAACGGGGGAACGGCCGCGGAUACUGUCGGCCUCGAGGGAGGUAGGGGCGAGCGGAACGCUGGGUGGAGCGGUGAAAUGCGUUGAUAUCCAGCGGAACUCCCGUGGCGAAGGCGGCUCUCUGGGACGGUACUGACGCUGAGACGCGAAAGCGUGGGGAGCGAACAGG
rnacentral:rRNA from 1 species